UAGGAAGCUAAGUUGGGGUCAGAAGGUGGGCUCAGGAGUCGGCAAUUUCGGCCAAUAGGAGCCAAGCGGGGCGGGGGUGCCCGAUUCUUCUGAAAGAGGGUUUGAGGUGAAGGGCCUGACUGUAGUGAAUCACCUUUUGUGCAAUGGCAGGAGAAUCAAAACCUACAAGUAAUCCUUUGGAACAGUUCAUUUUGUUGUCCAGGAAUGCAAAAGGUCCAGCAUUAACAACCCUUAUUAGCCAAGUAUUAGAGGCUCCGGGAGUUUUUGUUUUUGGUGAACUUUUGGAAACGCCUAAUAUACAGGAGCUGGCUAAUGGAUCACAUGCUGCCUACUUUCAGUUAUUGAACCUGUUUGCAUAUGGAACAUAUUCUGACUAUUUAGCAAAUAAGGGAAGUCUACCCGAAUUAACAUUAGCUCAGAAGAACAAGCUGAAACAUCUCACCAUAGUAAGCUUGGCGGCAAGAAUGAAGUGCAUUCCAUAUUCCAUGCUCCUGAAAGACCUUGACAUAAAAAACCUUAGAGAGUUGGAAGAUCUGAUUAUUGAAGCAAUUUAUACUGAUAUAAUACAAGGCAAACUUGAUCAGCGAAAUCAGCUUCUUGAAGUUGACUUUUGCAUUGGCCGAGAUCUCCAAAAGCAAGACAUCAGCAGUAUUGUUAAAACUCUCCAAGAAUGGUGCGAUUGUUGUCAAGCAGUUCUGCUGGGCAUUGAGCAGCAAGUCCUCCGCGUAAAUCAAUAUAAAGAAGGCCACACAAAAACACAACAGCAGGUAGAAACUGAGGUGGCGAACAUAAAGAAGACGUUGAAGGCAACAGCAUCUACCUCAACACAAGAUCCUGAUCAGCAUCCGAUGGAUCGUGACACUCCACAGCUUGUUGAACAGCGUCCAUCCACAAAGAAAUUGUCAAAAUCUAAAAGUUUAUCAUCCAGCCGUCAUUAGAAGAAUAAGUUGGCAGAAUUAUUCCAAUGCUUAUCGGGAAGCUGGAACUGAGAAGAAAUGGGAAUAUAAUGAACUGAGCAACGGUUCUCCUAAAUGGCACGUGAAAAGAAAUUUGAACAACUUUUUUUGUGCAAAUGAAAUUUUUUUUUGUAAUACACAGAUUUUAUAAUAAUAGAAAGCUAACUACUGAAUCAUCCUUUCCCAUUAAAAGUAAUGCCAAGAGAGCAAGCUGCUCCAAUCUUAGAUAGCACUUGUCUCUAAUUGUACUCCCUCAAAGGAAUCUUUCAUUUCACCUGCAAAAUGAACCCAUUCUUCGGUCACAGCUGCUGCACCUUUGCCCACAAUUCAACCAUGUCAGAGUUCCUGCAAAGAGACUUCUUUGCAUAACCAACUCCAAGAUUUUCUGUGGAGUUCCAGAUUUCGGCUUCUACCACAGUCUGGAUUGCCUUUUCCAGAGCGAGAAGUUUGAUUGUGAAAGAUUUGAAAGAAAUUAAUCAAACUCUGACAAUACUGUCACUAAUUAGUCCUGUUGUAAAGCUCCAUUUUCACAAGAUUCAGAUAAUGUAUAAAGAUCAUUGAUGAAGUUAUCAGCAGGUACUUGGAGAAACUGUAUACCUUGAGUGAAUCUUAUUCUUUCCAUAACACAACUUGGUCUUAAACUAAAAUAGUUAUUUGAUAUUUUUAAGAUAGUAUCAAAGGUAUCAGUAUUUUCUGUAGUAUUUUGUCUGUUAAUUACAUGGUCUGCGCAUAGUACCAUAGAACAAAGCAGUGGUUUAACAUUUUCUGCUUCUAAAUUUGUGUAGACUUAAAAUGAUUCUGUGUCUCAUGAAUUGUUUGUUCCAUGUUGAUCAAUAUAAUUCUCUGUCUGUAUCUGUAAACUUGAAUUUGCUUGGACAUAUAAGAAUUUUCUCUUUCUUUUUUUUUGUUUUAAAUUAAAUUGCUCCCUUUAAAUUUUUAAAAUUUUUUAACAUUAAUUAAAAUCUUUAUUUUU